AUAUACAGUGGCGAACGGGUGAGUAACGCGUGACCAACCUUCCCCCCGCAUCGGGACAACCCGGGGAAACCCGGGCUAAUACCGGAUAUGCCGGGUAUGGCGCAUGUCAUACCCAGGAAAGCUUUUGCGGCGGGGGAUGGGGUCGCGUCCCAUCAGGUAGACGGCGGGGUAGUAGCCCACCGUGCCAACGACGGGUAGCCGGGUUGAGAGACCGACCGGCCACAUUGGGACUGAGAUACGGCCCAGACUCC
rnacentral:rRNA from 1 species